GAAUGACACGAUGAUCAUUUAUUUCCCUAUUGGUUUGAUUGCCUGUAUGAUGGCACUUUUGUAUUAGCUCUAUCUGAUCAUUC
rfam:Vigna radiata var. radiata cultivar VC1973A chromosome 8, whole genome shotgun sequence